UGCCAGACUCCUACGGGAGGCAGCAGUGGGGAAUAUUGCACAAUGGGGGAAACCCUGAUGCAGCGACGCCGCAUGAGUGAAGAAGUAAUUCGUUAUGUAAAGCUCUAUCAGCAGGGAAGAAAAUGACGGUACCUGAGUAAGAAGCCCCGGCUAACUACGUGCCAGCAGCCGCGGUAAUACGUAGGGGGCAAGCGUUAUCCGGAUUUACUGGGUGUAAAGGGAGCGUAGACGGUAAGGCAAGUCAGAUGUGAAAGCCCGGGGCCCAACCCCGGGACUGCACUGGAAACUGCCGGGCUGGAGUGUCGGAGGGGCAGGCGGAAUUCCUAGUGUAGCGGUGAAAUGCGUAGAUAUUAGGAGGAACACCGGUGGCGAAGGCGGCCUGCUGGACGACGACUGACGCUGAGGCUCGAAAGCGUGGGGAGCAAACAGGAUUAGAUACCCCUGUA
rnacentral:rRNA from 1 species